UGUAGUGGGACGAAAUUAAGCGUCAUCCAUCCACCAAAGUCAGCCCAGUUUGCAGAGGGCGGUGCAACGAACGGGGACAGUAUCUUCGUUGCCGCGACCAGAGAGGAAAUUGCUGGCCGCUAUACGUCGCGGGUCGACAGCCAAGGAGCAACAGAAGAUCCUGGAACCGAGUUGUUGCGUCGUGCUUCUAAAAA